rnacentral:rRNA from 1 species
AGGGCACCACCAGGAGUGGAGCCUGCGGCUUAAUUUGACUCAACACGGGAAAACUCACCCGGCCCGGACACCGUAAGGAUUGACAGACUGAGAGCUCUUUCUUAAUUCGGUGGGUGGUGGUGCAUGGCCGUUCUUAGUUGGUGGAGCGAUUUGUCUGGUUAAUUCCGAUAACGAACGAGACUCUGGCCUAUUAAAUAGGCGAUACAUAGAAAAGUGUAUCGAACUUCUUAGAGGGACAAGCGGCGUCUAGCCGCAUGAAAUAGAGCAAUAACAGGUCUGUGAUGCCCUUAGAUGUCCGGGGCUGCACGCGCGCCACACUGAAAGAAUCAGAGUGCGCUUUGCCUAGUUCGGAAGAACUGGGUAACCCAAGUAAAUUCUUUCGUGCUUGGGAUAGGGAAUUGCAAUUAUUUCCCUUAAACGAGGAAUUCCCAGUAAAUGCGGGUCAUAAGCUCGCGUUGAUUACGUCCCUGCCCUUUGUACACACCGCCCGUCGCUACUACCGAUUGGAUGACUUAGUGA